GACGAACGCUGGCGGCGUGCUUAACACAUGCAAGUCGAACGAAGUGGCGAACGGGUGAGUAACGCGUAAUCAACCUGCCCUUCAGAGGGGGAUAACAGUUGGAAACGACUGCUACUACCGCCUACUGACGGAGGGGAUUGCGUCUGAUUAGCUAGUUGGAGGGGUAACGGCCCACCAAGGAGAUGAUCAGUAGCCGGUCGUAGAGGAUGAACGGCACCAAGUGGACCGAGACACGGCCCAGACUCCUACGGGAGGCAGCAGUGGGGAAGCUUCCGCAAUGGACGAAAGUCUGACGGAGCAACGCCGCGUGAGUGAUGACGGCCUUCGGGUUGUAAAGCUCUGUUAAUCGGGACGCGGUACCGGAAUAGAAAGCCACGGCUAACUACGUGCCAGCAGCCGCGGUAAUUC
rnacentral:rRNA from 1 species